UCUCGGGGCCCACUCGGUAAUACAACAUCACACACAAGCCUUGCAAGCAAUGUGACUAAGUGUAAGUCACGGGAUCUUGUAUUACGGAAACGAGUAAAGAGACUUGCCGGUAACGAGAUUGAAAUAGGUAUGCGGAUACCGACAAUCGAAUCUCGGAAAGUAACAUACCGAAGGACAAAAGGAAUGACUUACGGGAUUAUAUGAAUCCUUGACACUGAGGUUCAACCGAUAAGUUAUUCGGAUAAUAUGUAGGAUCCAAUAUGGGCAUCCAAGUCCCUCUAUUGGAUAUUGACCGAGGAUUAUCUCAGGUCAUGUCUACAUAGUUCUCGAACCCGCAGGGUCUGCACACUUAAGGUUCGGCGAUGUUUUAGUAUAGUUGAGUUAUAUGUGUGGUUACCGAAUGUUGUUAGGAGUCCCGGAUGAGAUUACAGACGUCAUGAAGGUUUCCGGAAUGGUCGGGAGAGGAAGAUUGAUAUAUAGGAUGACUUCAUUUGGUUACCGGAAAGUUUUCGGGCAUUACCGGGAAUGUACCGGGAGUGGCGAAUGGGUUCCGGAAGUUCACCGGGAGGGGGGCAACCCUCCCGGGGAAGCCCAAAGGACUUAUGGGUGUCGCACCAGCCCUUAGUGGGCUGGUGGGACAGCCCAAUAAGGCCUAUGCGCCAUAAGAAAAAAACCAAAGAAAGAAAAAAAAAAGGUGGGAAGGAAGAGAAGGACUCCACUUUCCAAUCCUAUUUUGAGUAGGAUUGGGCUGGCGCACCUUGGGGGCUUGGCCCUCAAGGCAAGCCUCCCCUCCCCUCCUCCUAUAUAUACUGGUGUUUUAGGGCUGAUUUGAGACAACUUUUGCCACGGCAGCCCGACCACAAACACCACGGUUUUUCCUCUAGAUCGUAUUUCUGUGGAGCUCGGGAGAAGCCCUGCAAGAGUAGAUCCUUCACCCCACCGGAGUGCUGUCACGAUGUCGGAGAACUCAUAUAAUUCUCCGUCCUGCUUGCUGGAUCAAGAAGGCCGAGAUCAUCGUCGAGCUGUACGUGGAGGUGCCGUCCGUUCGGCACUAGAUCGGAGCGGAUCGUGGGACGGAUCACGGGACGGUUCGUGGGACGAUUCGCGGGGCGGAUCGAGGGACGUGAGGACGUUCCACUACAUCAACCACGUUUCUUAACGCUUCCUGCUGUGCGAUCUACAAGGGUACGUAGAUCUAAAUCUCGUCUCGUAGAUGGACAUCACCAUGAUAGGUCUUCGUGUGCGUAGGAAAUUUUUUGUUUCCCAUGCAACGUUCUCCAACAGUGGCAUCCUGAGCUAGGUUCAUGCGUAGAUGUAAUCUCGAGUAGAACACAAAGGGUUUUGUGGACGGUGAUGUUCGAUUUGCUGCCCUCCUUGGUCUUUUCUCGAUUCGGCGGUAUUGUUGGAUUGAAGCGGCCCGGACCGACAUUAUUCGUACGCUUACGAAAGACUCGUUUCAUCGCUCGACAUGCAACCUCGUUGCAUAAAGAUGAGUGGCGGGUGUCGAUUUCUUCAACUUUAGUUGAAUUGGUUUUGACCGAGGCGGUCCUUGGAGAGGUUAAAUAGCAAUUUGCACAUCUCUGUUGUGGUUUUUGCGUAAGUAAGAUGCGAUCUACUAGAUACCCAUAGCAGCCACGUAAAACUUGCAGCAACAAUUAGAGGACGUCUAACUUGUUUUUGCAGGGUAUGCUUGUGAUAUGAUAUGGCCAAUGACGUGAUGUGAUAUAUCGGAUGUAUGAGAUGAUCAUGUUGUAAUAGUUAAUAUCGACUUGCACGUUGAUGGUACGGCAACCGGCAGGAACCAUAGGGUUGUAUUUAAACUAACGUUUGUGUUUGCAGAUGCGUUUACUAUAUUGCUAGGACGUAGCUUUAGUAGUAAUAGCAUAAGUAGCACAACAACCCCGAUGGCGACACGUUGAUGGAGAUCAUGAUUAUGGAGAUCAUGGUGUGGCGCCGGUGACAAGAAGAUCGUGCCGAUGCUUUGGUGAUGGAGAUCAAGAAACACAUGAUGAUGGCCAUAUCAUGUCACUUAUGAAUUGCAUGUGAUGUUAAUCCUUUUAAGCACCUUAUUUUGCUUAGAACGACGGUAGCAUUAUGAGGUGAUAUCUCACUUAAAUUUCAAGACGAAAUUGUGUUCUCCCCGACUGUGCACCGUUGUUACAGUUCGUCGUUUCGAGACACCACAUGAUGAUCGGGUGUGAUAGACUCAACGUUCACAUACAACGGGUGCAAAACAGUUGCACACGCAGAACACUCGGGUUAAGCUUGACGAGCCUAGCAUGUGCAAACAUGGCCUCGGAACACAUGAUAUCGAAAGGUUGAGCAUGAAUCAUAUAGUUGAUAUGAUUAACAUAGGGAUGCUUACCACUGAAACUAUCCUCAACUCACGUGAUGAUCGGACUUGAGCUAGUAAAAUUGGAUCAUGUACCACUCAAAUGACUAGAGAGAUGUACUUUUUGAGCGGGAGUUUAGCAAGUAAUUUGAUUAGUUAAACUCUAAUUAUCUUGAACAUAGUCUAAGUCCACUUUGAAAAUAUUUGUGUUGUUGAUCAAUGGCUCACGCGACAGUUAGCCUGAAUUUUAAUACGUUCCUAGAGAAAGCUAAGUUGAAAGAUGAUGGAAGCAACUUUGUAGACUCGGCUCGUAAUCUUAAGUUGCUCCUGCAAGCUGGGAAGAAGGAUUAUAUCCUUAAUGCUGCGCUAGGAGAUGAACCACCCGCCGCGGCUGACCAAGAUGCUAAGAACGCUUGGUUAGCACGCAAGGAGGACUACUCAGUAGUUCAAUGUGUAGUCUUGUAUGGCUUAGAGCCGGGACUUCAACGUCACUUUGAGCGUCAUGGAGCAUAUGAGAUGUUCCAGGAGUUGAAGUUUAUCUUUCAGAAGAACCCCCGGGUCGAGAGGUAUGAGACCUCCGAUAAAUUAUAUGCUUGCAAGAUGGAGGAGAAUUCGUGUGUCAGUGAACAUGUGCUCAAAAUGUGUGGGUACUAAAACCGUCUAGCUGAGCUGGGGAUUGAACACCCGCAAGAGGCUAUCACUGACAGAAUUCUUCAAUCACUGCCACCAAGCUAUAAGAGCUUUGUGUUGAACUAUAACAUGCAAGGGAUGAACAAGUCACCCGGCGAGCUUUUCGCUAUGCUGAAAGUCGCAGAGUCAGAACUCCGUAAAGAGCAUCAAGUGUUGAUGGUGAAUAAGACCACUAGUUUCAAGAGAAACGGCAAAGGAAAGAAGGGUAAUUCAAGAAGAGCGGCAAGCCUGUUGCCAAUCCGACGAAGAAACCCAAAACUGGACCUAAGCCUGAAACGGAGUGCUAUUAUUGCAAGGGUAUGGGUCACUGGAAGCGCAACUGCCCCAAGUAUCUGGCUGAUAAGAAGGCGUCCAAGGAAAAAUCAGGUAUAUUCGAUAUACAUGUUAUUGAUGUGUACUUAACCAGCUCUCGUAGUAGUGCCUGGGUAUUCGAUACCGGUUCUGUUGCUCAUAUUUGCAACUCGAAACAGGAACUGCGGAAUAAGCGAAGGCUGGCGAAGGAUGAAGUGACGAUGCGCGUGGGAAAUGGUUCCAUGGUUGAUGCAAUCGCCGUCGGCACAGUUUCACUUCACUUACCAUCAAGAUUAGUUAUGAACUUAAAUAAAUAUUAUUUAGUGACUGCGUUAAGCAUGAACAUUAUAUCUGGAUCUUGUUUAUUGCGAGACGGUUACUCGUUUAAGUCAGAGAAUAAUGGUUGAUCUAUUUCUAUGAUUAUUAUCUUUUAUGGUCAUGCACCCAAUGUGAGAGGAUUGUUCAUAUUGAAUCUUGAUAGUGAUAAUACACAUAUACAUAACAUUGAGACCAAAAGAGUUAGAGUUAACAAUGAUAGCGCCAUGUUUUUAUGGCACUGCCGCUUAGGUCACAUUGGUGUAAAGCGCAUGAAGAAACUCCAUACUGAUGGACUUUUGGAGUCACUUGACUUUGAUUCACUUGACACGUGCGAACCAUGCCUCAUGGGCAAGAUGACUAAGACUCCAUUCUCCGGAACAAUGAAGCGUGCAAGUGACUUGUUGGAAAUCAUACAUACCGAUGUGUGUGGUCCGAUGAGUGUAGAGGCGCGCGACGGAUAUCGUUAUUUUCUCACCUUCACCGACGAUUUGAGUAGAUAUGGUUAUGUCUACUUAAUGAAGCACAAAUCUGAGACGUUUGAAAAGUUCAAGCAAUUUCAGAGUGAAGUCAAAAAUCAUCAUAACAAGAAGAUCAAGUUCCUACGGUCUGAUCGUGGGUGUGAAUAUCUGAGUUUCGAGUUUGGUGCUCACUUAAGACAAUGUGGAAUUGUUUCACAGUUAACACCGCCUGGAACACCACAGCGUAAUGGUGUGUCCGAACGUCGUAAUCGUACUUUAUUAGAGAUGGUGCGAUCUAUGAUGUCUCUUACCGAUUUGCCAUUUUAUCGUUUUGGGGGUAUGCAUUAGACACAACUGCAUUCACUUUAAAUAGGGCACCAUCAAAAUCCGUUGAGACGACGCCAUACGAACUGUGGUAUGGCAAAAGACCAAAGUUGUCGUUUCUUAAAGUUUGGGGAUGUGAUGCUUAUGUCAAAAUGCUUCAUCCUGAAAAGCUGGAACCCAAAGCGGAAAGGUGCGUUUUCAUAGGUUACCCAAAAGAGACAGUUUGGUAUACCUUCUAUCUCAAAUCCGAGGGCAAAGUGUUUGUUGCUAAAAAUGGAGCUUUUCUUGAGAAGGAGUUUCUCUCGAAAGAAUUGAGUGGGAGGAAGAUAGAACUUGAUGAGGUUGUCGAACCUCUAAUUCCUCUUGAUGGUGGCAUAGGGCAAGGGGAAACCCCUGUUGCUGCAGCGCCGGUUGAGGAACAAGUUGAUGAUGAUGAUCAUGAAACUUCGGAUCAAGUUACUGUCGGACCUCGCAGGUCGACAAGAUCACGUACUGCUCUCGAGUGGUACGGUAAUCGUGUCUUAACGAUUAUGUUGUGGGACAACAAUGAACCUGCGAAUUAUGAAGAAGCAAUGGUGGGCCUGGAUUCCAACAAAUGGCUGGAGGCCAUGAAGUCCGAGAUAUGAUCCAUGUACGAGAACAAAGUGUGGACUUUAGAAGUACUACCUGAAGGCCGCAAGGCUAUUCAGAACAAAUGGAUCUAUAAGAAGAAGACGGAUGGAGACGGUAAUGUGACUGUUUAUAAAGCUCGACUUGUGGCAAAGGGUUUUUCACAAGUUCAAGGAAUUGACUACGAUGAGACUUUCUCACCGGUAGCGAUGCUUAAAGUCUGUAUGAAUCAUGAUAGCAAUAGUUGCCUUUUACGAUUAUGAAAUCUGGCAGAUGGAUGUCAAAACGGCGUUCCUUAACGAUUUUCUUAAGGAAGAGUUGUAUAUGAUGCAACCCAAAGGUUUUGUCGAUCCUGAGAAUGCUAACAAAGUGUGCAAGCUCCAGCAAUCCAUUUAUGGAUUGUGCAAGCAUCUCGGAGUUGGAAUAAGCGUUUUGAUCAGGUGAUCAAAGCAUUUGGGUUUAUACAAGUGGUUGGAGAAUCUUGUGUUUACAAGAAAGUGAGUGGGAGCUCUGUGGCGUUUCUAAUAUUAUAUCUGGAUGACAUAUUGCUGAUUGGAAACAACGUGGAGCUUUUGGAGAGCAUAAAAGUUUCUCUAUGAAGGACCUAGGAGAAGCUGCUUACAUUCUAGGUAUUAAGAUCUAUAGGGAUAGAUCAAAACGCCUGAUAGGACUUUCACAAAGCACAUACCUUGAUAAAGUUUUGAAGAAGUUCAAAAUGGAUCAGUCCAAGAAAGGGUUCUUGCCAGUGUUAGAAGGUAUAAAAUUGAGUAAGACUCAGUGCCCAACAACUGCGGAAGAUAGAAAGACAAUGAGUUCCGUCCCCUACGCUUCAGCCGUAGGUUCUAUCAUGUAUGCAAUGAUGUGCACUAGACCAGAUGUCAGCUUGGCCAUAAGUAUGGCAGGCAGGUUUCAGAGUAAUCUAGGAGUGGAUCACUGGACAGCGGUCAAGAAUAUUCUGAAGUACCUGAAAAGGACUAAGGAAAUCUUUCUCGUGUAUGGAGGUGACAAAGAGCUCGCCGUAAAAGGUUACACCGACGCAAGUUUUGACACCGAUCCAGAUGACUCUAAGUCACAAAGCGGAUACGUAUUUAUUCUUAAUGGGGGUGCGGUAAGCUGGUGCGGUUCCAAGCAAAGAGUCGUAGCAGAUUCUACAUGUGAAGCGGAGUACAUGGCUGCCUCGAAGGCCGCAAAGGAGGGUGUCUGGAUUAAGCAGUUCAUGACAGAUCUUGGAGUUGUGCCAAGUGCACUAGAUCCAUUGACUCUGUUAUGUGACAACACUGGUGCCAUUGCCUUAGCAAAGGAACAAGGUUUCACAAGAAGACCAGACACAUCAAACGACGCUUCAAUCUCAUCCGCGACUACGUCGAAGGAGAGGACGUGAAUAUUUGCAAAGUGCACACGGGUCUGAAUGUAGCACACCCUCUGACUAAACCUCUUCCACGGGCAAAACAUGAUCAACACCAGAACUGUAUGGGUGUUUGAUUUAUUACAAUGUAAAUCGCAUGGCGAUGUGAGGACUAGAUUAUUGACUCUAGUGCAAGUGGGAGACUGUUGGAAAUAUGCCCUAGAGGCAAUGAUAAAUAGUUAUUAUUAUAUUUCUUGUUUAAACAUAAUCGUUUAUUAUCCAUGCUAUAAUUGUAUUGAAUGAAAACAUAGAUACAUGUGUGGAUACAUAGACACAACAAUGUCCCUAGCAAGCCUCUAGUUGGCUAACCAGUUGAUCAAGGAUAGUCAAGGUUUUCUGGCUAUGUGCAAAGUGUUGUUGCUUGAUAACUAGAUCACAUCAUUAGGAGAAUCAUGUGAUGGACUAGACCCAAACUAUGAACGUAGCAUAUUGAUCGUGUCGUUUUAUUGCUAUAGUUUUCUGCGUGUCAAGUAUUUGUUCCUAUGACCAUGAGAUCAUAUAACUCACUCGCACCGGAGGAAUGCCUUGUGUGUAUCAAACGUCACAACGUAACUGGGUGAGUAUAAAGGUGCUCUAUAGGUAUCUCCCAAGGUGUCCGUUGAGUUAGUAUGGAUCAAGACUGGGAUUUUUCACUCCGUGUGACGGAGAGGUAUCUCGGGGCCCACUCGGUAAUACAACAUCACACACAAGCCUUGCAAGCAAUGUGACUAAGUGUAAGUCACGGGAUCUUGUAUUACGGAAACGAGUAAAGAGACUUGCCGGUAACGAGAUUGAAAUAGGUAUGCGGAUACCGACGAUCGAAUCUCGGGCAAGUAACAUACCGAAGGACAAAGGGAAUGACAUACGGGAUUAUAUGAAUCCUUGACACUAAGGUUCAACCG
rnacentral:lncRNA from 1 species